rnacentral:ncRNA from 1 species
CUUUGAAGUUAGACAAAAAAUUUCAAGGCGGAAGGAG